rnacentral:rRNA from 1 species
AUUGAACGCUGGCGGCAGGCCUAACACAUGCAAGUCGAACGAGUGGCGGACGGGUGAGUAACGCCUGGGAAAGUGCCUGAUGGAGGGGGAUAACUAUUGGAAAGGGUAGCUAAUACCGCAUACCAUUAGAUGGGCCCAGAUGGGAUUAGCUGGUUGGUGGGGUAAAGGCUCACCAAGGCGACGAUCCAUAGCAGGUCUGAGAGGAUGACCAGCCACACUGGAACUGAGACACGGUCCAGACUCCUACGGGAGGCAGCAGUGGGUAAUAUUGCACAAUGGGCGCAAGCCUGAUGCAGCCAUGCCGCGUGUAUGAAGAAGGCCUUCGGGUUGUAAAGUACUUUCGGCGGGGAGGCGUUACCCGCAGAAGAAGCACCGGCUAACUCCGUGCCAGCAGCCGCGGUCAUAC